rnacentral:rRNA from 1 species
GAUUAACGCUGGCGGCGUGCAUAACACAUGCAAGUCGAACGAUGAAACUUAACUGAUUUCUUCGGAAUGAUUUUAAGUGGAUUAGUGGCGGACGGGUGAGUAACGCGUGAGUAACCUGCCUUGGAGAAGGGGAUAGCCUUUGGAAACGAAGAAUAAUACCCUAUGAUAUGAUAAUAUCUCAUGAUAUUAUCAUCAAAGAUUUAUCGCUCUAAGAUGGACUUGCGUCUGAUUAGUUAGUUGGUGAGGUAACAGCUCACCAAGGCAGCGAUCAGUAGCCGGCUUGAGAGAGUGUACGGCCACAUUGGGACUGAGACACGGCCCAGACUCCGACGGGAGGCAGCAGUGGGGAAUUUUGCACAAUGGGGGAAACCCUGAUGCAGCGACGCCGCGUGAUUUAGAAGGCCUUCGGGUUGUAAAAAUCUUUUGUAUGGGAAGAAAAUGACAGUACCAUACGAAUAAGGACCGGCUAAUUACGUG